AAGCAUUCUGGUUUGGUCAGAAACAACGAGCUUUACAGGUUUCUCUUCAAGUCCUUCCAUACUGGGAUGAGAAAGUUCCAGGGUAUUGGAUGUUUGC
rnacentral:tRNA from 1 species